AAAGGAAGAUCGUUGUUUCACUUUGGGGUGGAUACCAAACAAUUUCGUUCAUUUUGUUCCGAAUUGCCCUCAGGGCCCCCAUCUAAAUUGCUUUUCGUAUUGCCGAUUGGUAAUAGGAAUGCUUAGCAUACGG
ensembl:ncRNA F42D1.10 ncRNA